ACGCUCGACACCUACGGGGGCAGCAGUGGGGAAUAUUGCACAAUGGGGGAAACCCUGAUGCAGCGACGCCGCGUGAGUGAAGAAGUAUUUCGGUAUGUAAAGCUCUAUCAGCAGGGAAGAAGAUGACGGUACCUGAGUAAGAAGCCCCGGCUAACUACGUGCCNGCNCGCGAGUAUCNGNGGCGGCGUGGACGAAGGC
rnacentral:rRNA from 1 species